rnacentral:rRNA from 1 species
AAUCAACGCUGGCGGCGUGCCUAACACAUGCAAGUCGAGCGGGAAAAGGGGGCUUCGGUCCCUGAGUAUAGCGGCGGACGGGUGAGUAACACGUGGGUAAUUUGCCCUUGGGUGUGGAAUAACGUCAGGGAAACCUUGAGCUAAUACCGCAUGACAUCCCCCUUCUCACAGGAGUUGGGGAUCAAAGCCGGGGACCUUCGGGGCCUGGCGCCUGAGGAGAAGCCCGCGCCCGAUUAGCUAGGUUGGGAGGUAAUGGCUCACCAAGGCUUCGAUCGGUA